UACGGAGGGUGCGAGCGUUAAUCGGAAUUACUGGGCGUAAAGGGUGCGUAGGUGGUUGAUUAAGUUAUCUGUGAAAUUCCUGGGCUUAACCUGGGACGGUCAGAUAAUACUGGUUGACUCGAGUAUGGGAGAGGGUAGUGGAAUUUCCGGUGUAGCGGUGAAAUGCGUAGAGAUCGGAAGGAACACCAGUGGCGAAGGCGGCUACCUGGCCUAAUACUGACCCUGAGGCACGAAAGCGUCGGGAGCAAACAGG
rnacentral:rRNA from 1 species